AGCGCAGGUGGGCUGUCAAGUCUGUCUUAAAAGUGCGGGGCUUAACCCCGUCGAUGGGAGUAGAAACUAGGCAGUCUUGAGUGCAGGAGAGGAAAGCGGAAUUCCUAGUGUAGCGGUGAAAUGCGUAGAUAUUAGGAGGAACACCAGUGGCGAAGGCGGCUUUCUGGACUGUAACUGACACUGAGGCUCGAAAGCCAGGGGAGCGAACG
rnacentral:rRNA from 1 species